AUGUCCUUCGGGACUAGGGGUGAGGCUGAACGCUCGAUCCGAUCGGGUAGUAGGUAAGCGAUGGGGUGACGCAGGAAGGUAGUCCAGCCCAGGCGAUGGUUGUCCUGGGGUAAGCAUGUAGGGCGUGUCGUAGGUAAAUCCGCGGCAUUUAAGCCUGAGAUGUGAUGCCGAGCCGAUUGUGGUGAAGUGGAUGAUCCUAUGCUGCCGAGAAAAGCCUCUAGUGAGUGUUGUGGCGGCCCGUACCCUAAACCGACUCAGGUGGUCAGGUAGAGAAUACCAAGGCGAUCGGGUGAACUGUGGUUAAGGAACUCGGCAAAUUGCCCCCGUAACUUCGGGAGAAGGGGGACCUCUGUUGGUGAUGGGCUUUACGCCUGGAGCUGGUGGGGGUCGCAGUGGCCAGGGGGAAGCGACUGUUUACUAAAAACACAGGUCCGUGCGAAGUCGUAAGACGAUGUAUACGGACUGACGCCUGCCCGGUGCCGGAACGUUAAGGGGACCGCUUAGCUGACGUGAGUUGGCGAAGGUGAGAACUUAAGCGCCGGUAAACGGCGGUGGUAACUAUAACCAUCCUAAGGUAGCGAAAUUCCUUGUCGGGUAAGUUCCGACCUGCACGAAUGGCGUAACGACUUCCCCGCUGUCUCAACCGCAGACCCGGCGAAAUUGCACUACGAGUAAAGAUGCUCGUUUCGCGCAUCAGGACGGAAAGACCCCGGGACCUUCACUACAGCUUGACAUUGGCGUUUGGAACGUCUUGUGUAGGAUAGGUGGGAGACUGGGAAGCUGUCACGCUAGUGAUGGUGGAGUCAUUGGUGAAAUACCACUCUGGUCGUUUUGAACGUCUAACUCUGGUCCGUGAUCCGGAUCGGGGACAGUGUCUGGUGGGUAGUUUAACUGGGGCGGUUGCCUCCUAAAGAGUAACGGAGGCGCCCAAAGGUUCCCUCAGCCUGGUUGGCAAUCAGGUGUUGAGUGUAAGUGCACAAGGGAGCUUGACUGUGAGACUGACAGGUCGAGCAGGAGCGAAAGCUGGGACUAGUGAUCCGGCAUCGGCGUGUGGAAGCGGUGUCGCUCAACGGCUAAAAGGUACCCCGGGGAUAACAGGCUGAUCUUCCCCAAGAGUCCAUAUCGACGGGAUGGUUUGGCACCUCGAUGUCGGCUCGUCGCAUCCUGGGGCUGGAGUAGGUCCCAAGGGUUGGGCUGUUCGCCCAUUAAAGCGGUACGCGAGCUGGGUUUAGAACGUCGCGAGACAGUUCGGUCCCUAUCCGCUGCGCGCGCAGGAGACUUGAAGGGGGCUGUCCCUAGUACGAGAGGACCGGGACGGACGAACCUCUGGUGUGCCAGUUGUACCGCCAGGUGCACGGCUGGUUGGCUACGUUCGGAAGGGAUAACCGCUGAAAGCAUCUAAGCGGGAAGCUCGCCUUGAGAUGAGGUCUCCCACCACGAGAGUGGGUAAGGCUCCCGGUAGACGACCGGGUUGAUAGGCCGGAGGUGGAAGCACGGUAACGUGUGGAGCUGACCGGUACUAAUAGGCCGAGGACUUGACCAC
rnacentral:rRNA from 1 species